GUGGGGAAUAUUGGACAACGGGCGCAAGCCUGAUCCAGCCAUGCCGCGUGAGUGAUGAAGGCCUUAGGGUUGUAAAGCUCUUUCAGUGGGGACGAUAAUGACGGUACCCACAGAAGAAGCCCCGGCUAACUUCGUGCCAGCAGCCGCGGUAAUACGAAGGGGGCUAGCGUUGUUCGGAUUUACUGGGCGUAAAGCGCACGUAGGCGGAUCGUUAAGUCGGGGGUGAAAUCCUGGAGCUCAACUCCAGAACUGCCUUCGAUACUGGCGAUCUUGAGUCCGGAAGAGGUGAGUGGAACUCCGAGUGUAGAGGUGAAAUUCGUAGAUAUUCGGAAGAACACCAGUGGCGAAGGCGACAUACUGGCUCAUUACUGACGCUGAGGCGCGAAAGCGUGGGGAGCAAACAGGAUUAGAAACCCCGGUAGUCC
rnacentral:rRNA from 1 species